rnacentral:pre_miRNA from 12 species
UCUGGCUGAGUAUUACAUCAGGUACUGGUUUUUUUUUCCUAUUACCAGUACUUAUGUCAUACUUAUCUAAA